CUUCACAUUUAUUAACCAGUCAGUUGUCCGGAGAUAGGUCGAGUAUUUCCUGGAAUUUGUCCAAGGCUAUUAUUGUGGAGGCUUGUUAUCAAUAGAAAAAGUAGGCAGGGCAAAUAGUAAUAAUGGUUAUUAAAGCAAAAUGUCUGCUGAAACCAGCUCCUGAUAUACUCAUAUACUCACACAGCUCACACUCACAGGCUCCUGUCAUCGUCUUUGCAUUAGGCAGCUCAGUCAUAGGCCUCUCACAUGUCUUCUCUCUUUCUUGUGUUAACACAGUUUUAGUAUCAUACAUUGGUAUAUUACAGACAUUGUCACUUGCUGCAAUGUGGGAACAGGAAUGCAAAUAAAAUGCUAAAGAAAUUGUAACAGAUAUGUCCAACAAAGUAACAUUAAUGCUGUGUUGCAUUGGCUGAAGCAUAAUGAUGUGCCUCAAUCUUGCAAUGUACCUCUAUCUUGCAAUGGACCAAGGUACUACUGAUGUCAUCACAUAAUGAGUCUUACAUAAUUCAAGACAAAGGCAUCAAGACAACACUAAGACUAAAAACUGAUUUAUUAAAUUAUUGUGUUUUUUUAUAAUUAUUAUUGUUCAAAUGGAAUAUUUGGCACUGUGCAGCAAA